UGUCUACAGCCAUACCACCCUGAAUACGCCUGGUCUCGUCUGAUCUUGGAAGCUAAGCAGGGUUGGGCCUGGUUAGUACUUGGAUGGG
rnacentral:miRNA from 1 species